rnacentral:rRNA from 1 species
UGGUGAGUAACACGUAGGUAACCUACCUAUAAGACUGGGAUAACUUCGGGAAACCGGAGCUAAUACCGGAUAAUAUUUCGAACCGCAUGGUUCGAUAGUGAAAGAUGGUUUUGCUAUCACUUAUAGAUGGACCCGCGGCGUAUUAGCUAGUUGGUAAGGUAACGGCUUACCAAGGCGACGAUACGUAGCCGACCUGAGAGGGUGAUCGGCCACACUGGAACUGAGACACGGUCCAG